rnacentral:rRNA from 1 species
AUGAACGCUAGCUACAGGCUUAACACAUGCAAGUCGAGGGGCAGCAUGGUCUUAGCUUGCUAAGGCCGGUGGCGACCGGCGCACGGGUGAGUAACACGUAUCCAACCUGCCGUCUACUCUUGGACAGCCUUCUGAAAGGAAGAUUAAUACAAGAUGGCAUCAUGAGUCCGCAUGUUCACAUGAUUAAAGGUAUUCCGGUAGACGAUGGGGAUGCGUUCCAUUAGAUAGUAGGCGGGGUAACGGCCCACCUAGUCUUCGAUGGAUAGGGGUUCUGAGAGGAAGGUCCCCCACAUUGGAACUGAGACACGGUCCAAACUCCUACGGGAGGCAGCAGUGAGGAAUAUUGGUCAAUGGGCGCAGGCCUGAACCAGCCAAGUAGCGUGAAGGAUGACUGCCCUAUGGGUUGUAAACUUCUUUUAUAAAGGAAUAAAGUCGGGUAUGUAUACCCGUUUGCAUGUACUUUAUGAAUAAGGAUCGGCUAACUCCGUG